GGGCCUUCACCGGUUACCGAAAACUAUCAAACUCCGAAUACCGCAGUAUUAGACUUGGGAGUCAGACUACGAGAGAUAAGUUCCGUGGUCAAAAGGGAAACAGCCCAGACCUACAGCUAAGGUCCCCAAAUGUAGAUUAAGUGGAGAAGGAUGUGGAGCUGCAUAGACAACUAGGAUGUUGGCUUAGAAGCAGCCACUCAUUUAAAGAGUGCGUAAUAGCUCACUAGUCGAGUGACUCUGCGCCGAAGAUAAACGGGGCUGAAAUCUACUACCGAAGCUUAGGAAUUACAUUUAGUAAUUGGUAGAGGAGCAUCGUAUACGGGCAGAAGCUGUGCUGUAAGGCAUGGUGGACUGUAUACGAGAGAGAAUGUUGGCAUGAGUAGCGUAAGGCAGGUGAGAAUCCUGUCCGCCGAAAAUCUAAGGUUUCCUGAGGAAGGUUCGUCCACUCAGGGUUAGUCGGGGCCUAAGCCGAGAGCGAAAGCUGUAGGCGAUGGACAACAGGUUGAUAUUCCUGUACCACCGAAAGUCGUUUGAGCGAAGUGGGGACACAGAAGGAUAGGUUGAGCACGCUGUUGGUAAUGCGUGUCCAAGCGUCGAGGGAGAACUGGUAGGCAAAUCCGCGAGUUCAAUUCUGAGGCGUGAUGGGGUGGCCGCAAGGCUGGAAGCAACUGAUUUCACACUGUCAAGAAAAGCCGCUAGCGAGACCGUAGGUGCCCGUACCGCAAACCGACACAGGUAGAUGAGGAGAGAAUCCUAAGGUGAGCGAGAGAACUAUUGUUAAGGAACUCGGCAAAAUAACCCCGUAACUUCGGGAGAAGGGGUGCUCCGGAAACGGAGCCGCAGUGAAAAGUCCCAGGCGACUGUUUACCAAAAACACAGGUCUCUGCGAAAGCGAAAGCUGAAGUAUAGGGGCUGACGCCUGCCCGGUGCUGGAAGGUUAAGGGGAUGUGUAAGGGCAACCGAAGCACUGAACUUAAGCCCCAGUAAACGGCGGCCGUAACUAUAACGGUCCUAAGGUAGCGAAAUUCCUUGUCGGGUAAGUUCCGACCCGCACGAAAGGCGUAACGAUCUGGGAACUGUCUCAACAAUAGACUCGGUGAAAUUGUAGUACCGGUAAAGAUGCCGGUUACCCGCAGCAGGACGGAAAGACCCCAUGGAGCUUUACUGUAGCUUGAUAUUGAGAUUCGGCGUUGCAUGUACAGGAUAGGUGGGAGACUGCGAGACUAGUACGCCAGUAUUAGAGGAGUCACCGUUGGGAUACCACCCUUGUAACGUUGGAUUUCUAACAUUGCGCCGUGAACCGGCGUGUGGACAGUGUCAGGUGGGCAGUUUGACUGGGGCGGUCGCCUCCUAAAGAGUAACGGAGGCGCCCAAAGGUUCCCUCAGUGCGGUCGGAAAUCGCGCGAAGAGUGUAAAGGCAGAAGGGAGCUUGACUGCGAGACAGACAAGUCGAG
rnacentral:rRNA from 1 species